CCCCAGCUGGGCCUCCUGCCACUUGGCAGGGCUUUCAUCCCUCACCAAUUACCCCUCCCAUAAGUUGCCCAAAGGAAUUGUGUCACCUUCUCCCUCUUCUCAAAUGGGUUCCCCCACACCCUGGCCAGCAAAUAAGCAGCCAGCUCCCCUGAGAGGUACCAGCAAUCAGGGUAAGUCAGAAGCCUCUUCUGGGGCCUCCCCUCCACCACAAGUGCUUUCUGGGUCAACACCCAUCCUUUUCCCCUCCUGCCUUCCUCCUUCAGGGCAGAGGGGACCAUCCUCUUAUACUCAGCUGACACUCCCCUGCCCCAAUCUGGCCUCCGCAGGGAUCACCUACCUCCACUAUCUCCUCUCCUCCUCUUAUCCCUAAAUGCCUCUUCCUGAGUUAUUCUUUCCCUUCACCCCACAAGCAUCCUCAAGGCUUCCUCCCUCUAAAAAUGCCACUUUUACUGUCCCUCAAAAUGCUUUUCUAGCCAUUGCCUUCCCCUCAUAGACUGAAUGAGUAGAUAGAACUCACUUUUAUGCUCCCUGGCUACCUUCUCCAACCUCAGAAACUUGGAGUCUGCAGCCACCAUUGCUGUGAGUGUACAUUUCAACAUUUUGAACGGGCAUACUCUUUUUUGCAAGGGAGGGGGCAUCUUUUUGUGUGAAUGUUCAAUUUUUUUAAAUUUACAUGAAAAUGUUUUUUUUAAAACGUGAAUAGUUUGAAAGGAUAUACAGUGAAAAGUUCAUCUUCCUCCCACUCCUGAACCACCACCUUCUGAGGGAAAACCACUGUUACCCACGGUAGUGGGUUGAAUCGUGUCCCCCAAAAAGAUAAGUCUAAGACUAACCCCUGGUACUUUUGAAUGUGACCUUAUUUGGAAAUGAGAUCUUUGCAGAUGUAAUUGACCUAAGGAUCUCAUGAGGAGAUUAUCCUGGGUUUAGGAUGGUCCCUAAAUCCAAUGACUGAUAUCAGAAGAGAAAGGGGAGAGAUACUUGAGACACAGAAACACCUAUGUAACAAUGGAGGCGCCGAUUAGAGCUGUGCCGACAUAAGCCAAGGAAUGCCAGGAGCCCCCAAAGGAGCUGGAAGAAGCAAGGAAUGUUCCUCCCCUAGAGCUUUGGGAGAGGGCACCACCCUGCAACCCUUCAUUCCAUACUUCUGGCUUCCAUAACUGCAAGAGAAUACGUUUUUGUUAUUUGAAGCCAGCAAAUUUGUAGAAACUUGUUAUAACAGCCCCAGGAAAGUAAUAUACCUAUUUAUUGGGUAUCUUUUCGGAGAUAGUCUACUUUUAUAAAACUACUUGGAUGGGCUCUUUAACCCACUUUUUAAAAUUGUAAAAAUAGUUUAUGAUUUACUUUUAACUUUUUAUUUAUAUUGGUGGGGUGGAGAGGGACAACUUAAUCUGACGUCUUAACCUAGCCCUAAUCUCGGAAUAAAAA
rnacentral:lncRNA from 1 species